CAAUUUUAGAUACUUAAAAGAUAGAAACUUUUAAAUAAGAGUUAUACUUAUAAAAUACAUUGAAUAGAUAAAAAUCUAAACAGAUUUUUAUAUUUUAGUUAUUGGACAAAGUUAAGAAAUAUUUCUUAGUUAUAUAUAUUUUGCUGUGGUUUAAAUAAAAAAUUAUAAUACUAACAACCCAUACUAAAAAAUGGUAUGACCCAUCUUACCAAAAGAAAACCGAUUGAGGAUUGACUGAGUCACUUUUGACCCUAAACCUCCUUGUUCAAGCUUACCGAGUACUCUCAAAUUCAAAAUUUGUAUCUCUUUUAAACUAAUCAACCGAUAUUUUGGGGAUGACUACUCGAUCAUCAACCAAUUUAUACCCAUUCAGGCUCUUUCUUUACCCUCAUUUUCAUCAGUCAUCCAUCGUACCUCUGUUUCCGUUAGAGCUAGCAACCGCCGCACCUCGUCUACCACAAUAAAUUCCGUCAUUCGAAUCCUCCAAUCUGCAACCAGUUCUCGCCGCCACAAUCAAACCUUCAACUCACGAUUCAGCAACCGCACCACUACCGCUCACCAUAGUUCGGUUCCGACUUCCGUGUGACCAUCUGAACCGCUAAUUGUGUCUCCGGUUAGCUCUGUUCUAUUAUUAAGGAUGGUGAACAGGCAAACGACGACAUUAGUCAUCGUGAAAAGGCUAGGUUAAAGGAAAUGCAAAGGUUGAAAAGACAAAAGAUACAAGAUAUACUGGUUCAACAAAAUGCUUGUAUUGAGGCUGAUAUAGUGAUAUGAAUAACAAGGGAAAAGGAAAAUUGAAGUUGAAGGGAAGGGGUCGUCAUGCAUCGAAAAUGACUGAAGAAGAAUGAGGUGUAUCUUAAGGAGGAAGAAGAUGGCUUGUCUGGAACAGGACAUACACGUUUGUUAGUGCAGCCAUCUUGUAAUCCAGAAAACAUGGAUAAGAGAGAAAUAUGAAGUUUAAGAUUUUUUUUUAAAGUCCAUUGCUAAUGUAGUUCAUAUGUUUUGGGUCUUAGGAAAACUCAUAGAAACCUUUUCUUUACUCAUGUUUCACAUAAACCUCUCACACAUAUUUUAGUAAUCUAGAAUCUAAUCCUAAUGUAAAUCAU